rnacentral:rRNA from 1 species
CGUAGGUGAACCUGCGGAGGGAUCAUUACUGAGUUUACGCUCUACAACCCUUUGUGAACAUACCUAUAACUGUUGCUUCGGCGGGUAGGGUCUCCGCGACCCUCCCGGCCUCCCGCCUCCGGGCGGGUCGGCGCCCGCCGGAGGAUAACCAAACUCUGAUUUAACGACGUUUCUUCUGAGUGGUACAAGCAAAUAAUCAAAACUUUUAACAACGGAUCUCUUGGUUCUGGCAUCGAUGAAGAACGCAGCGAAAUGCGAUAAGUAAUGUGAAUUGCAGAAUUCAGUGAAUCAUCGAAUCUUUGAACGCACAUUGCGCCCGCCAGCAUUCUGGCGGGCAUGCCUGUUCGAGCGUCAUUUCAACCCUCAAGCUCUGCUUGGUGUUGGGGCCCUACAGCUGAUGUAGGCCCUCAAAGGUAGUGGCGGACCCUCUCGGAGCCUCCUUUGCGUAGUAACUUUACGUCUCGCACUGGGAUCCGGAGGGACUCUUGCCGUAAAACCCCCAAUUUUCCAAAGGUUGACCUCGGAUCAGGUAGGAAUACCCGCUGAACUUAAGCAUAUCAAUAAGCGGAGGAA